rnacentral:tRNA from 1 species
GCCCCGAUGGUGAAAUUGGUAGACACAAGGGACUUAAAAUCCCUCGACUUCGGUUGUGCCGGUUCGACCCCGGCUCGGGGCA